AUCCCAUGGUGUGGGAAUUUCCUCAAUAACUCCUUGAGUCUCUCCCACACUUCACAAAAGGAUUCAUCUUCCACCUGCUGAAAUGACAUGAUUUCAUUGUGAAGCU